CGGGUGCACUGAUCCAGCCGGGCCUUUCCCUCUGUGGAACCCCAUGGCCUUCACUGGCUGUGGUGGGGAAACAGGACUUUUACUUUGAAAAAAUUAGAGUGCUCCAGGCAGGCCUAUGCUCGAAUACAUUAGCAUGGAAUAAUAGAAUAGGACGUGUGGUUCUAUUUUGUUGGUUUCUAGGACCGCCGUAAUGAUUAGUAGGGACAGUCGGGGGCAUCAGUAUUCAAUUGUCAGAGGUGAAAUUCUUGGAUCUAUUGAAGACUAACUACUGCGAAAGCAUUUGCCAAGGAUGUUUUCAUUGAUAAGGAACGAAAGUUAGGGGAUCGAAGACGAUCAGAUACCGUCGUAGUCUUAACUAUAAACUAUGCCGACUAGGGAUCGGACGAUGUUAUUCUUUGACGCGUUCGGCACCUUUCGAGAAAUCAAAGUGCUUGGGCUCCAGGGGGAGUAUGGUCGCAAGGCUGAAACUUAAAGAAAUUGACGGAAGGGCACCACCAGGGGUGGAACCUGCGGCUUAAUUUGACUCAACACGGGGAAACUCACCAGGUCCAGACACAGUGAGGAUUGACAGAUUGAGAGCUCUUUCUUGAUUCUGUGGGUGGUGGUGCAUGGCCGUUCUUAGUUGGUGGAGUGAUUUGUCUGCUUAAUUGCGAUAACGAACGAGACCUUAACCUGCUAAAUAGCCCGUACUGCUUUGGCAGUUCGCCGGCUUCUUAGAGGGACUAUCGG
rnacentral:rRNA from 1 species